CCCUUAGAUGUUCUGGGCCGCACGCGUGCUACACUGACCGGCGCAACAAGUUUCUUUCCUUGGCUCGAUAGGCCUGGGUAAUCUUUGAACGCCGGUCGUGAUGGGGAUAGAUCCUUGCAAUUUUUGAUCUUCAACGAGGAAUUCCUAGUAAAUGCGAGUCAUCAUCUCGCGUUGAUUACGUCCCUGCCCUUUGUACACACCGCCCGUCGCACCUACCGAUUGAAUGGUCCGGUGAAAUCUCGGGACGGCGGCUUGGUCGCUUGCGUCCGACUGCUGAAACUUGAUUAAACCAUNUNAUUUAGNGGAAGGUGAANUCGUANCA
rnacentral:rRNA from 1 species